UGGCGAACGGGUGAGUAACACGUGGGCAAUCUGCCCUUCACUCUGGGACAAGCCCUGGAAACGGGGUCUAAUACCGGAUAACACUCCUGCCUGCAUGGGCGGGGGUUAAAAGCUCCGGCGGUGAAGGAUGAGCCCGCGGCCUAUCAGCUUGUUGGUGGGGUAAUGGCCCACCAAGGCGACGACGGGUAGCCGGCCUGAGAGGGCGACCGGCCACACUGGGACUGAGACACGGCCCAGACUCCUACGGGAGGCAACCAUU
rnacentral:rRNA from 1 species